AAGGUGAAAAAGCACCAGGCCCAGGAACCUUGGUUAAGGGAGUUUUACUGGCUGUGAAGAGGAGAAGCAAGAGGAUUCUGGGUCAACAGCUGGAGGUGAUAAGACAGCGCAGCACGUCAGCCUUAGUCUUGAGUGAUGAUAGAGAUUAUCACCGCCUCUUCCGUCUCCUUCAGGAUUUGGUGGGCACUGGCGGACGUGGCCUUAGAGAUUAUUUACCUGAUGUCUCUUUGGCAACCCCAAAGUCUCAUUUUUAUGACUGGACUUAUUACAGAAUAGCCUCUUACUGAAUGUGUUUUGAAUUGAUAGGAUGAAAGUCAGUCAGUCAGUCAGUCAAUUUCUGGCUCUUUCCAGGGGACUCUAUAAACAUAGCAAUAGUGACAAUACUACAUCCCCAAAUGUUGGUAACGAUUUAAUGCAAUUCCAAUUAUAUAUUUUAUAAAACCUGAUAAAAUAGUGAUCUUUAUCUGGAAAAAUAAAUUAGUUAAAAAAAGCAAAAAAAUUAAGGCAGUGAAAUGGCCUCAUUCUUCCUGAUUCUAUUCAUUUCAACAAGUGUUUGAGUUGCCUGCUCUUCGUAAAAGCAGUGCUUGACUCUUGGGAGGAUAUAAAAGUGCGUAUCUAUGGUGAUACAUAUUCUCAUGUAACCUUUUAUCAUUUGCUUUAUGAGAGAGCCACUUCUGUAGGUUGAGGUAUACAUGACAGAAGACUCAAAAGUAAUGAAGACAUAAAUAAGAUAGAAGUUUCUGCCUUAUGUGUGAGAAAUCAGGAGGGUAUUCAGUUCAGAGUUUUGAGCCUACAUGGUCAGAGACCCGGUUCCUUCUGUCUUGUUGUUCCAUCAUGAGGUCAUCUUGGGAAUGGCUUCCCAGACCUAGGUCACUUCAUGGCCUGAAAUGGCUGCUAGAGCUCUAGCUCUUGCAUCUACAUUCCAGCCCUCAAGGGCCACUUUUCAGAAAUUGUGCAUGACGCUUGGUCGUAUGGCCACAUCUGGCAGUAAGGGAAGCUGGGAAGUGUAAUAUAUAUUCAGGGAAACUGUCACCUACAAACCAGAAGUUCUAUUACUGAAGAAGAAGGGAAGGAUGGAUGUUGGGGACCAGCCUCACAGUUAUUGGCAUUUAACACACGUGGAGCCUCUGAGUCAUUGAGAUUAUUCCAAUGUUACAUGGUCUAAAAAUGGUUGAGCCUUCAAAACAUUGUAUGAUAGCAAUUCAUAAAUCUCAUGGUGCUUGGGUAAAAGCAGGAAAAUAAAUGAACGGAAAAGAAGUCACUUCAUUGCUAACUUCCACAGGAGCUUGAUGUAUGAGACAUCAGGAAAUAUACAGAAGCAAGGGAAGGAAUGAUUAUUUUGUUGUUGGGGCAUUUGGGUUUCAAUGCUGAAAAGAAUCAAUUAAGUUUAACCACAUACUGCCGUGGAUUCUAAAUGAGUUUAAGGACAAAAAAUGGAAUUAAAGAUGGAAGAUGAAUCGUGUAGCAAGAUCUGAGAGAGGCGGUUUACAGGAUUUGGGUAGCAGGGGACGCAGGAGGGAGAAAUUUUCCUGUCUCCUUGCCAUCUUUUUGGAUGUAUAACUCCAGAGUUGGAGACAAAGGACUUUAUUACGAGUGUAAGCAUCAGUGCGUGUCAGUUUCCCUUCCCCUAAGUCCCAUGGAGGUGACACUGUGGGCCAGAUGGAUGCUGUGCCUUGUGUCAUAGCUGAGAAACACGGGCCUGGGGAACCUCUGUGGCAGGCAAUAGGCAAGCCUGCGCUUUGUCCCUGAGGGAGACAUUAUCACAUCUCUCAAGGCUGCUUGCUGCAAACACAGCCCUGCGAAACGGCCUGGGCAAAGAGCGGUGGGGACCUUGCGUUCUUGGCACAGCCAGCAGGGCAGGUUGGAGUGCCAGAGGCCGCAGAGGCCUGAGCCUCCCAACAGGUGGCCGUCAGGAUUGAAUGGGAAGCUGUGUGUAGACGCGUGCCGCUGCGUGUGUGGUGGGAAGCUCUUGGUCAGCGUCAUCCCACAGAGCGUCUGUGGGCUUGAGGAGAGGCAGGCCCAGCCGUGACGCUGCCAGCUGGCAGUCUUCCCACCCGGUGCUCAGUGUUGAGACGAGACCAAGGGUCCCGGGUUGAUGGGCAGUGGGGAGGUGGAAGGGGAGAGAAAGGCUCAUCUCAGUCGCUUGUUUAGCUUUUGCCUCUUGUACACGUUUUGUACCCAGUCCAUCCCUGUGGUGUGCACUCUGGGUAAAUUAUCUAUAAUCCUCUUUUUUCUUAUGUAAAAUCAAAUGAAGUCUCUCUUGAACUUAAUGUUUGUGGUUUUCUUAAUUAGAGAUAAAGUAUAGUGAGUCUUUCCUAAGAAAUAGGGUAUUAUUGGGAAGUUCCCUGGUGGUCCAGCGGUUAGGAUUUAGCACUUUCAUUGCUGUGGUCUGGGUUCAGUCCCUUGGGAUGCCACAUCAAGCUGCUGCUACCAUGGGGGUGUGUGGGGGGGUAAUCCACUAAAAAAUAGGAUGUUUAGGAGUUCCUGUGUGGCUCAGCGGGUUAAGAACCCAACUUGUCUCUGUGAGGAUGCGGGUUUGAUCCCUGACCUUGCUUGGUGGGUUAAGUAUCCAGCAUUGCCACUAGUUGUGGUGUAGGUUGCAGAUGUGGUUCAGAUGCAGUGUUGCUAUGGCUGUCGGGUAGGCAGCUGCAACUCCAAUUCGACCCCUAGCCCAGAAACUUCCAGGUGCCGUAGGUAUGCCUGAAAAAGAAAAAGAAAGAAGGAAAGAAAGGAAUGAAGGAUGAAAGGAAGAAGGAGAGGGAUAAAGAAAGAGGAUGUUAUUUGUUUACACAUAUAUUUAGCAAAAUCCUUGAAAACUGGUUCCAAGCUAAUGAAACUUCAAAUCUAGAUGAUGUGUAAAAGUGUUACAACCAUGUGGAGCUAAAGGAUGUCUGAAGGCGGCUCAACUUUCCAGUUUUAUAGAAAAGGAAACUGAAGCGAGAGAAACGAGGACCCUUACUAAGGAGCGGCCACAGUUGAUGGGUGAUGGAGGUGGUGCUGGACCUUAGCUUUGAAUCCCCAGGGUAGAUAGAGGGGUAUCAGGCCAGGUCUCAUCUGUCCACAUUCAAGAAUGAACAAAUAGAACAACUAGAGAAGACCCACUGAAAAGCUCUAGAAGUAUAAAGGGAAAUAAACAAGGCAUGAAAAAAAUGGAAAAAUUCAGACUUUGGGGAAGAAUUUCCAAACUUUUACUGGUAAACCGAGGUAAAUUUCUUUUUUUUAAUAUUUAAAAAUUAAAAAAAAUUAGAGUAUAGCUAAUUUGCAGUGUUGUGUCAAUUUUUGCUGUACAGCAUAGUGUCUCAGUCAGUCUUGUAUAAUUACAUUCCUUUUUUUUUUUUUUUUUGGUCUUUUUAGGACCACACCCAAGGCAUAUGGAAGUUCACAGGCUAGGGGUCGAAUUGGAGCUUCGGUGCUAGCCUUCACCACAGCCACAGCAACUUGGGAUCCGAGCCAUGUCUGCGACCUGCACCACAGGUCAUGGCAAUGCUGGAUCUUUAACCUGCUGAGCAAAGCCAGGAAUCGAACUUGCAUUCUCACGGAUACCAGUCAGAUUCAUUUCUGCUGAGCCACGAUGGAAACUCCUAUAAUUACAUUCUUUUUCUCAUGCCGUCUUCCAUUAUGUUCUACCUCGAGAGACUGGACAUGGUUCCCUAUGCUCUCAAUAGGACCCCAUUGCUCAUCCAUUCUAAAUGUAAUACUUCGCAUCUACUAACCCCAAAUGCCCCUUACAUCCCACUCCUCGUCCACUCCCCCCGGCAACCACAGAUCUGCUUUCCCUGUCCAUGAUCUGUUGAAAUUUCAAACAUCGGGAGUUCCUGUUGUAGCUCAGUGGUAAUGAACCUGACUAGUAUCCAUGAGGAUGUGGGUUUGAUCCCUGGCCCCUCUCGGUAGGUUAAGGAUCUGAUGUUGCCGUGAGCUGUGGCGUACGCCGGCAGCUAUAGCUCCCAUUGGACCCUUAGCCUGGGA
ensembl:lncRNA